UACGUAGGGGGCGAGCGUUGUCCGGAUUUAUUGGGCGUAAAGAGCGUGUAGGCGGCCAGGUAGGUCUGCUGUGAAAACUCGAGGCUCAACCUCGAGAUGUCGGCGGAAACCAUCUGGCUAGAGUCCGGAAGAGGAGAAUGGAAUUCCUGGUGUAGCGGUGAAAUGCGCAGAUAUCAGGAAGAACACCCGUGGCUAAGGCGGCUCUCUGGGACGGUACUGACGCUGAGACGCGAAAGCGUGGGGAGCGAACAGG
rnacentral:rRNA from 1 species